CAGGCCCUAAGGGGACCUGAUCAGGCACCAACCCAACUCCGGGAACUUUCCAAAUCAAUGGAGCUGCUUAAAUCUCUCCUGUUGCCCAUCACCGGUGCUUCCUCAGGACCAGGAGAGACGUAGACGGUCCUCACUGCUAAAGGCCUGCCUCUAUGGUGACAAGUUCCUGAAUAAGCCAGUGCCUUCUAUUGGCUCAACCCAAUUGGAAGCAAGAGGAAGAGGGGCCAUUGAUGUCAUCCAUCCAGAUCAGCCCCUGGGCAUAGAGCAAGACUGAGAGGGGAGAUCUGAACACCGAUACACAGAGAAGGAAGACAAUGUGAAGAGACAGGGAGAAGACAGCUAUCUACAAGUCAAGGAGAGUGUUCUGGAACAGAUUCUCCCUCACAGCCCUCAGAAACAACCAACUCUGUUGGCACCUCGAUUUUGGUCUUCUAACC